AUGCAUCCUGCCCACUCCAAGGAGCCCUGGGAACCAGAGGGCAGGCCAGGGGAGGACCAUGGGGACCCCAGCUCAGCCCACAGCCCCUGCCUCUCCGGAGGCCCUGGAGGCCUUGGUCUCCACCCCAGGCUCCUGCUGGCCCCUCUGGACACAGACAAGCUCCCCCAGGUGCAGCUGCACACGCAGACCCUUCUGGAGCUGGACCUGCAGGACCUGUGUGUGGGGGCGGCCGAGGGUGAGGAGCUGGACGGACUGUGGAGCAGCCUCUUCGUCUUCAUCGCGCUCUUCCUGCUUAGUGUGAGCUAUGGCGCCUCCGUCACCCUCUUCAAGGUGAAGUGGGUCCUGGGUGCUGUCCUGCCGGGGCCGCCCCAGGCCACCCACGACUACGAGAACAUCGAGGACAUCGCACGGCCGGCGGCCUGGGGCAGAGGGGCGGUGGGCAUCGUCUCAUCUGCGUGGGGCUGUCCGGGGUCUCACAGCGUGUCCUGUGUUGCAGUGAGCCCCAGCAGCCCCACACUCUUCCCACUGAGCCUCAGGAGCACCGACUCAGCUGGUCACGUGGUCAUCGGCUGCCUGGUCCAGGACUUCUUCCCAUCGGCGCCCAUGAACGUGACCUGGGGCAGCAGCGGGCCGGGCACCUCCAUCCGGAACUUUCUCCCCGCACCCACCUCCCGGGGCCUGUACACCAUGGUCAGCCAGCUGACCCUGCCAGCCGACCAGUGCCCAGAGGGCGCGACCCAGAGGUGCCACGUGCAGCACCACACCAGCGCCAGCCAGACCAAGGACGUGCCCUGCAAAGUUAAGACACCCACAUGCUUGAACUGCCAGCCCCGCCUGACCCUGAGCCCGCCAGCCAUCGAGGACCUGCUCCUGGGCUCCAGUGCCAACCUCACGUGCACGCUGAGUGGCCUGAGAAAGCCCCAGGGUGCCAGCUUCACCUGGAACCCCACGGGUGGGAAGGAUGCCAUCCAGGAGGCCCCGCAGAGUGAUGCCUGUGGCUGCUACAGCGUGUCCAGUGUCCUGCCAGGCUGUGCCGAGCCCUGGAACCGCGGGCAGAGGUUCACCUGCACCGCCACCCACCCUGAGGCCAAGAGCCCGCUCUCCGCCACCAUCGCCAGAGCCUCAGGGAACACCUUCCCACCCCAGGUCCACCUGCUGCCGCCGCCCGCAGAGGAGCUGGUCCUCAACGAGCUGGUGACGCUGACGUGCGUGGUACGGGGCUUCUACCCCGGCAACGUGCUAGUCCGGUGGCUGCACGAAAACCAGGAGCUGCCCCGAGAGAAGUACCAGACGUGGAGUCCCCUGCCCGAGGCCAGCCAGGGCAGCGCCACGUUCGCCACGACCAGCGUGCUGCGCGUGGACACCGAGGCGUGGAAGAACGGGGACAGCUACUCCUGCAUGGUGGGCCACGAGGCCCUGCCCCUGAGCUUCACACAGAAGACCAUCAACCGCCUGGCGGGUAAACCCACCCACGUCAACGUGUCUGUGGUCUUGUCAGAGGUGGACGGCAUCUGCUACUGAGCCACCCGCCCA